CCUACGGGGGGCAGCAGUAGGGAAUCUUUCACAAUGGGCGAAAGCCUGAUGGAGCAACGCCGCGUGCAGGAUGACGGCCUUCGGGUUGUAAACUGCUUUUAUAUCUGAGAAAUAUGAUGGUAAGAUAUGAAUAAGGACCGGCUAACUACGUGCCAGCAGCCGCGGUCAUACGUAGGGUCCAAGCAUUAUCCGGAUUGACUGGGUGUAAAGAGUUGCGUAGGUGGCAGGGUAAGUAGAUAGUGAAAUCUGGUGGCUCAACCAUUCAGACUAUUAUCUAAACUGCUCCGCUCGAGAGCGUUAG
rnacentral:rRNA from 1 species